GAUCGGGAUAACGGAACCUGGAAACAAGAUGCUAAUACCGGAUAACAACAGAUGAUGCCUAUCAACUGUUUAAAAGAUGGUUCUGCUAUCACUCUUGGAUGGACCUGCGGUGCAUUAGCUAGUUGGUAGGGUAACGGCCUACCAAGGCGAUGAUGCAUAGCCGAGUUGAGAGACUGAUCGGCCACAUUGGGACUGAGACACGGCCCAAACUCCUACGGGAGGCAGCAGGA
rnacentral:rRNA from 1 species